UACGUAGGGACCAAGCGUUGUUCGGAUUUACUGGGCGUAAAGGGCGCGUAGGCGGCAAUUCAAGUCAUCUGUGAAAUCUCCGGGCUUAACUCGGAACGGUCAGAUGAUACUGCUUUGCUGGAGUGCGGAAGGGGCAAUCGGAAUUCUUGGUGUAGCGGUGAAAUGCGUAGAUAUCAAGAGGAACACCUGAGGUGAAGACGGGUUGCUGGGCCGACACUGACGCUGACAGCGCGAAAGCCAGGGGAGCAAACGGG
rnacentral:rRNA from 1 species